UCGCUUCUGCAGCGCAUAUACUAAAAUUGGAACGACACAGAGAAGAUUAGCAUGGCCUCAGUACAAGGAUGACAUGCCAAUUUGUAAAGCGUUCCAUAGUUUU
rnacentral:snRNA from 1 species